GAUGAACGCUGGCGGCGUGCCUAAUACAUGCAAGUCGAGCGAACAGACGAGGAGCUUGCUCCUCUGACGUUAGCGGCGGACGGGUGAGUAACACGUGGAUAACCUACCUAUAAGACUGGGAUAACUUCGGGAAACCGGAGCUAAUACCGGAUAAUAUAUUGAACCGCAUGGUUCAAUAGUGAAAGACGGUUUUGCUGUCACUUAUAGAUGGAUCCGCGCCGCAUUAGCUAGUUGGUAAGGUAACGGCUUACCAAGGCAACGAUGCGUAGCCGACCUGAGAGGAUGAUCAGCCACACUGGAACUGAGACACGGUCCAGACUCCUACGGGAGGCAGCAGUAGGGAAUCUUCGACAAUGGGCGAAAGCCUGACGGAGCAACACCGCGUGAGUGAAGAAGGUCUUCGGGUCGUAAAGCUCUGUUAUUGGGAAAGAACAAAUGUAUAUGUAACUAUGCACGUCUUGACGGUACCUAAACAGAAAGCCACGGCUAACUUCGUG
rnacentral:rRNA from 1 species